UCAUAUUCAUGAUGUUUUCUAAGUAGCCAGUACUUAGGAUGCAGAAGUAAAGAUUCCAGUUGUGAUUUUAUAGUUGCUCUGUGGGUCAGUCCCCCACCUCUGUAUGGAAAAGAAUCACAGAAUGAUUUGGGUUGGAAGGGACUUACAAACCAUUUCAUUCCAGCCCUCUGCCAUGGGCAGGAACAUUUUCCACUAUCCCAGGAUGCUCAGAGCCCCAUCCAGCCUGGCCUUGGACACUGCCAGGGAUGGGGAAGCCACAGCUACUCUGGAAGGAGGACAGGAGUCUCAUUAAAGAGCACGGUUCCCUAGUUUGUUCAGCUGAUGAAAAAUUUCCAGCUAGUGGAAGAACUCUAAUAUAUGCAAUCUCUUUGGAAAUAGCCUUGGAGCUGUGUUUUUUAGUAAGGAAUACUGCUGUCCCAGGGAGACAGGAGACUAGUUAAACCAUAGAAACCUAAGAGAGUUUUUGUCCAUGCUUACACCGUUUUGUCUGCACUCCCUAUCAUCUGUCUGUUUGCUUUGACCCUCACCAAACCAGGCCAGAUAUUUGACUGCUUCUCUUUGGUCAGUAAUCCUUCUGAGCACACUGAUUUUUUUUCCACAGUUUUGAGUUAACUCAAGUGGUCAAGCUGUGGUCAUGCAUGGCUAAUUACAGUGGAAGGAGAAAAAUGAGUACAUUGAUUAACAUUCUGUUCCUUUGGAGAGACUGAGAAACAGCUUUGGCAGCUCCAGCUCCACUGACACCCUGCUGGCAGCUCAUUGCCUGUGCUUCUGAAUCGCAGUAAUUCCUGAAAAACGUGGCAGAUCCUUGACUGGGAACUGGGAGGGUAAGAACAGAGUUCUGGGGAUUUGGUGUUUGAUGCAGUUUUAAAAAGCUUUCCUUCCCUGAGCCCCCAUGGCCUUUCUCCACAGCAGGCUCAAGCGCUGCAGGCUUAAUUACUCUGCUUCCAUUGGUGCACAGAGCUCUGUGCUCCUGAGGGCUCCACAAGAAUUCCAUCCAACAGGACAGUGAGAGAUCCAGCAUUACACAACUGGUCCUGCUCAUCCUGUGGAAUGUGCCUGAGCUGACUGCUCCACCUCUCUGUGACACUGGACCCAUUCAGGGACAGCACACACAAGGCUCUGGAAUUGCUCUGUGGGAACCAGAUCUUCUGUUGACUUAAAUUAAGACCUUAAACAUACUUUUUUUUUUCUUUAGUGUUCUGCCUCGUUUUUAUCAGACCCAACUCUUUUCUUCAUGCUGUGACAAUUAAUUGGAUUAUUUUCAUUUAAAGAUCCAAGCCCACAAGAUAAGUGGAAUGGAACAGAAUUGUUUUCCUUUCCCUGCUCUCCCUCAUUAGUAGUCUAAACAAGUGUGAGGCUGCAUUAAGUUUGUAGCUAUUUUGUUAGCUUGAAAUCACUUUCUUCUCUUCUGCAGAUGGAGACUGUGCUUAGAUCAUUAUAUUCCAGCAUGCAAUUGUGGUAUAUUAAAAGUGAAACGGCUACUUUAUGGAAUUUAUGCUUGCAAUUACCUUGGUAGUGGAAAAGGAUGGCAACAAAAAUGUCAAGCCAUGAUCACCAGGAAGGCAGAAAUGUGACUGAGACAGAGCCCAGAUCUCAACCAGUGCAGACAUUCUGAUGUCAUUAGCUAUUUUUAAAUAUUGAUGAUGAUUUCUUAAAGAUGGAGCAUGGCAGGAAACAACUGGGUGAGCAAACGUUACCCCUAUGAAAGGUCUCACAGAAGUAAACCCAAUGAAUUUCUGAGCUGUCUCAUUCUUCAAGAGUUUGCAGACCCAAGAUCUUAACUGUUUAAUUCAAAUGUGAGAUACUGUAUAUGAAAUUUGACCAUAUGUGCCUCCUUUUAAAUUUGCAUUCCACCUAUUAAGAAAUUACAUUUUUGUCCAUGCUGCAGCAUUUUCUGAAUGUUUGAUUCACUACUGUGCCCCAAUGGAAUCAGGCAACUAAAGAUCUACAGUGCAAAAUCUUAUCAGAAUUGUGUAGCAGCACAAUGCUAAAGUGUUACAAAACAGAUUAAAGCAUUUGGGUUUUUUUCCUGGCCUUCUACCUGUUGAAUAUAAAAACCAUAGACUGCUGUUAUUCAGACAGACCAGGGAGCUACAAGUAAAUUUGGAUUACAAGUCGUAUCAGCAGCAGCUAAAAAGGUCGCAAUAAACCAGUAAAAAAUUUGUGGGAAUGUCUCUGAAUGGCUUGCACUAUGCUUACCUAGCUCUGCAUUAUUUUCUGACCAAUCUCAAGUAUUCUGGAAUUUUUCUGGCUUAUUCUUAAGAAAUACACCUGGGUUAUAUUAGGAAAACAGAAAGAAAGAAAGAAAGGAAAGUCAGAAUUGAUUCCUAAAUGUUGAUGAAGUAGUUAGAUGCAAACUACUCGGGAACUAAACGUUUCUAGGUUAUUUCUGAUGCUGAUGCUUCAUCUCCAGCAUGACUCUUAUACAGCAAUUUGGAUUUGUUACACCAAGUGACUGCAAAGAAAGAAAUGUCAAACCCUCACAUAAAUGUCCUUUCUCUGACAAGCUCUCCCUCCUUUGAACUACAAUAACGAGGACAACAUUGUUUUGCUUUGCCACAGACGUUCCCUUAAGUUUUCUGAAGGCUUCAGAGGUUCGGUGGAAUCUGACAAGAGGUAUUUGGGCUUUUGUGUUUGCCUUUCAUUGCUGCACCCCGGGGCCACCGGAGGAGCAGAGGGCACAGGAGCCUGGCUGGUUGUCACAGCCUGCAGGAGUGUCUAACUCCUAUGUCUGGCAGCUUAAAGAGCUGCUGCCCUUCCACAUGGUGAAUAGGUGCUUAUAUUUCUAUAUUAUGGGCUAACUCUGGAAAUACAUAGAAAUAAAUGUUUAUUGGGCUGCUGGUAAUGGUUACACCGUGUCACAGUUUGGGUUAAAACCUUAGGUAUUUCUGUCAGCUCUCCUUCAACAACAAACAAAUUCAUCUUCUUGGUUUGGCUCUGCCACGGUUCAUUUCAGGAUGAGCAUUUGGUUGUAAGUCUCUUUAGGUGUGCAGACCUUCAAAAACUAUGGACAAGCUCAAAUAUUCACGAGGCACCAGCCCACUAACUUCAACUGCAACAGUGGUGAACCCAUUAAUCAGACUUUUAUAGGAGUGAGAUAACCUUCUAUGUGUACAGCUCUGUUAAAAACAUAUAUUUAAAAUUAAAAAAUGAAAAU